rnacentral:rRNA from 1 species
AUUGAACGCUGGCGGCAUGCCUUACACAUGCAAGUCGAACGGUAACAGGUCUUCGGAUGCUGACGAGUGGCGAACGGGUGAGUAAUACAUCGGAACGUGCCUAGUAGUGGGGGAUAACUACUCGAAAGAGUGGCUAAUACCGCAUGAGAUCUACGGAUGAAAGCAGGGGAUCGCAAGACCUUGUGCUACUAGAGCGGCCGAUGGCAGAUUAGGUAGUUGGUGGGGUAAAGGCUCACCAAGCCAACGAUCUGUAGCUGGUCUGAGAGGACGACCAGCCACACUGGGACUGAGACACGGCCCAGACUCCUACGGGAGGCAGCAGUGGGGAAUUUUGGACAAUGGGCGCAAGCCUGAUCCAGCAAUGCCGCGUGCAGGAAGAAGGCCUUCGGGUUGUAAACUGCUUUUGUACGGAACGAAACGGUCCUGGUUAAUACCUGGGGCUAAUGACGGUACCGUAAGAAUAAGCACCGGCUAACUACGUGCCAGCAGCCGCCGUAACAC